AGUGCGUGCGUGUGCGAGUGAGCGAAAAGGAGAGCGCGCGGCGGACGUGCCCGAGACGCGCGGCGGCACCGGGAGGCCGGGCCGAGCGGUCUUAAAACAUGUUGGAAAAAGUUGAAGCUCCCCUUUUCUACCCUCCUGAUCCUGUGCUUCUAUUGGAGUGCAUAUCACUUGAUGGCUUCUAAGACAAAUGUUAAAUUCUUGUCAGAUUACGCAGUUUUGAGAGAUUACCUGAAGUUGCACUCAAAAGCAAGAUAUACUACUAGCUUUGAAAUGGAAUAAGAACAUAAGAGAGCAGCUGCCCAUGCCAAAUAGUUACCUCUUUUAAACUCAUUCUAGUGGAGCAAAUGGCCCUCCCUAUCCUGAAGACAUUAGCUGAGAGUCUGGCACCUUUUAAAGGUCUGAUCAUCAAUUGUCUCUCUGGGCAGCCACCUAUGAGACUUCAUCUAUAUGCUUUAUAAAUAGCAGUCCAGGGCAACAGUACUUGAUAAAAAGGUUAUACCUUAUUGGUGUGGAUGUUGUUGUCUAAAUUUCGGUAGCCAUGGCACAACAAUAUAGAUGUGGAGAAAGUUUGGGACCUCA
rnacentral:sRNA from 1 species